rnacentral:tmRNA from 1 species
GGGGGUGACAGGCUUCGACUUCGGUUGUUCGAGAUGGGAGAAGCGAGCCGUGGUCCCCGGAGCCACGUUAAAGAGCCGGGAACAAAAACAAACGCCGACAACACACCGGCACUCGCUGCUGCCUAGGCAGUAGCGACGUCUGACCGACCUCGGCUCCACGGGUCGGAACCAGGCGUCAUGCAGUGGAGCUCACCCGACACGGGUCGGAACCAGGCGUCAUGCAGUGGAGCUCACCCGACGGUCCCGCCAGGCGGGCCGUGAGGGGACACCACCGCCUGGUAAGGACCUCUCGCCGGCGCCGGCGACAGCGAGGGGUCCGAGACACCCCGCCGGCUGCGCUCGGAGAAGACCCGUCGAGAAGCUGAAGGACGUCGGUUCGAUUCCGACCACCUCCACAU